rnacentral:rRNA from 1 species
GAGUUUGAUUCUGGCUCAGGACAAACGCUGGCGGCAUGCCUAACACAUGCAAGUCGAACGGACAAGUUAGUGGAAGUUCUUCGGAAUGGAAGCUAAUGCGUUAGUGGCGGAUGGGUGAGUAACGCGUGGAUAACCUGCCUCUAAAUGGGGAAUAACUACGAGAAAUCGUAGCUAAUACCGCAUAAUAUCUCUUUAUUGCAUGAUAGAGAGAGGAAAGACGGCCUUAGUGCUGUCGUUUAGAGAUGGAUCCGCGUCUGAUUAGCUAGUUGGUGAGGUAAGGGCUCACCAAGGCGACGAUCAGUAGCCGGCCUGAGAGGGUGAACGGCCACAUUGGGACUGAGACACGGCCCAAACUCCUACGGGAGGCAGCAGUGGGGAAUCUUCCGCAAUGGGCGCAAGCCUGACGGAGCAAUGCCGCGUGAGUGAAGAAGGCCUUCGGGUUGUAAAACUCUGUCCUUAUCGAAGAGAGAGAAGAGUAGUAACUGACUUUCUAGGACGGNGAUNGGAGAGCC